rnacentral:lncRNA from 1 species
GAACAGGGUCACCAUUAGUUGACUCAAAGAGAGGGAGUUAAUAGUUAACAAAUUAGCUAUAUUUGGUUGUAUUAUUUGUAACUUUUACUUAUCUAGCAAAUGCAGCUAACUACUUUAGCCUACUCAAACACCCGGCUCAAACUGAGAGGGUUUCUAUGUUAAAUAGCUGGCUAUGGCUAUCCAACACUGGAACUCUUCUAAGUCAAGCCAGGUCCCAUGUACUUUUUAACUCCUCGCAACUGCAGUGGCCAAAACAAGAACAAGUUUGUGCUCUGGUAUUGUGCCUGGCGGACCAUCCACAAGCUCCACCACAGUCUGGACCUUCACUUCCUGAUCACAGGCCACACCAAGUUUGCCCCCAACUGGUGCUACGGCCUCAUCAAGCAGAGCUUCAGAAAGACCAGAGUGAAGACUUUGUCUGAGAUUGCUGGUGUUGUGAAGGACGGCACUGUGACGGGGUCAACAUCCCACAGCUGGUUGGACUGCAGGAUGGUACGGAGCUGGUGGAAAGCUAUGGCUGGCAACAACACCUGACUCUGUACUUCAGGCCGCUGCCACAGUUCAAGCAGUACCAGCACUUCAGCUUCGAUGCUCUGGAGCCUGGUCGCCAAGGAGCGUUCGGACUCCGUCAACACCCG